UGGUGCCUACGGGACGCAGCAGUGAGGAAUAUUGGUCAAUGGACGCAAGUCUGAACCAGCCAUGCCGCGUGCAGGAAGACGGCUCUAUGAGUUGUAAACUGCUUUUGUACAAGGGUAAACCUGAAUACGUGUAUUCAGCUGAAAGUACUGUACGAAUAAGGAUCGGCUAACUCCGUGCCAGCAGCCGCGGUAAUACGGAGGAUCCAAGCGUUAUCCGGAUUUAUUGGGUUUAAAGGGUGCGUAGGCGGUUUUUUAAGUUAGUGGUUAAACGUCGGGGCUCCACCUUGAUUUGCCAUUAAUACUGU
rnacentral:rRNA from 1 species